UUUUUGUGGAAGACAAUUAUUAGUUCUCUACGCUCCAAGGAAAAAAUUGUCUUGGCCGUCGCAUCAUCGGGUAUUGCAUCCCUCCUUAUAGAAGGUGGAAGAACUGCUCAUUCAAGAUUUAAAAUUCCAUUAAACAUUUACGAAAAUAGCACAUGUGGGAUAAAGCAACAUUCUUACUUGGCAGAGUUGAUAUCUCAGACGGAUUUAGUUGUGUGGGAUGAGGCACCUAUGAACCAUAAACAUAUAUUCGAGGCAGUUGAUCGUUCAUUCCGUGACAUAAUGCGACUUAAAGACCCCAGUAAUCUAGAAAAACCAUUUGGUGGAAAGACAGUUCUUCUUGGGGGAGAUUUCAGGCAAAUCUUACCUGUUUUACCCAAGAAAGGACGAGCAGAUAUUGUCAUGUCAUCCAUCAGUAAAUCUUACCUAUGGAAACAAUGUAAAGUUUUUAAACUGGAUCAAAAUAUGAGAAUAGAAGCAAAUGUACCACCAGUAACAGUUGGAGGGAUCUCAAUUCCAUACAUGGAAUGGAUAAUUAAGGUUGGUGAUGGUAC
rnacentral:lncRNA from 1 species